rnacentral:rRNA from 1 species
CAUAACAUAGUGAUUUCUACAAAACCACUCGCCAGAGAACUACAAGCCACCGCUUAAAACUCAAAGGACUUGGCGGUACUUCACACCCUUCUAGAGGAGCCUGUUCUGUAAUCGAUAAACCCCGAUAAACCUCACCGCCCUUAGCUAAUCCAGUCUAUAUACCGCCAUCUUCAGCAAACCUUAUUAAAGCACAAAAGUACGCGCAAUUAUCCACCCAUAAAAAAGUUAGGUCAAGGUGUAACCCAUAGGACGGACAGUAAUGGGCUACAUUUUCUAUUACUAGACUACACGAAAACCUGUGUGAAACCCGUUGGUUAAAGGAGGAUUUAGUAGUAAAUCAGGAUUAGAGAGCCCGAUUG